rnacentral:rRNA from 1 species
AGAUGCAAUCAUAUCACCACUAACGCACCGGAUCCCAUCAGAACUCCGAAGCUAAGCGUGCUCAGGCGAGAGUAGUACUAGGAUGGGUGACCCCCUGGGAAGUCCUCGUGUUGCAUCCC